GAUGAACGCUAGCGGCAGGCCUAACACAUGCAAGUCGAGGGGUAGAAUUAGCUUGCUAAUUUGAGACCGGCGCACGGGUGCGUAACGCGUAUGCAAUCUACCUUGUACAGGGGGAUAGCCCAGAGAAAUUUGGAUUAAUACUCCAUGGUAUAAUUGAAUCGCAUGGUUUGAUUAUUAAAGUUCCAACGGUACAAGAUGAGCAUGCGUCCCAUUAGCUAGUUGGUGUGGUAACGGCAUACCAAGGCGACGAUGGGUAGGGGUCCUGAGAGGGAGAUCCCCCACACUGGUACUGAGACACGGACCAGACUCCUACGGGAGGCAGCAGUGAGGAAUAUUGGUCAAUGGUCGGAAGACUGAACCAGCCAUGCCGCGUGCAGGAAGACGGUCCUAUGGAUUGUAAAACUGCUUUUGUACGGGAAGAAACACUCCUUCGUGAAGGAGCUUGACGGUACCGUAAGAAUAAGGAUCGGCUAACUCCGUGCCAGCAGCCGCGGUAAUCUCG
rnacentral:rRNA from 1 species